UACGUAGGGGGCAAGCGUUGUCCGGAUUUAUUGGGCGUAAAGAGCUCGUAGGCGGCUUGGCAAGUCGGGUGUGAAAACUCCAGGCUCAACCUGGAGAUGCCACUCGAGACUGCUAUGGCUAGAGUCCGGUAGGGGACCACGGAAUUCCUGGUGUAGCGGUGAAAUGCGCAGAUAUCAGGAAGAACACCCGUGGCGAAGGCGGCUCUCUGGGACGGUACUGACGCUGAGACGCGAAAGCGUGGGGAGCGAACAGG
rnacentral:rRNA from 1 species